UGCAUAGUAAACGUGGUUUGGUUGUCUGCUUCAAAUGCCGCAACAUUAGACUGGAAGAAAGGUCUCAUUGGCCCGUGUUGAUUGAAUGAUUUGAAUCUCGAUGGAUACUUAACCAGCGAAAUUAAAUCUUUUACUCAAAAAUCUCUUACUCAUUCAAUUUAUUACACAUUCUAUGGAUCUCACGUAUACGAUGGCUAAAUUUGAUGAAUACGAGUCCUUACCAACCUCGAAUUCCACUACACACAUGAUUGCUGGGUCCAUGGCUGGAAUUUUAGAGCACUGUGUCAUGUUUCCAAUUGAUUCGGUCAAGACGCGUUUACAGAGUCUUGUAAGCGCCAAUCGAAGUUUCCGGUCAGUCCUGAUGACUAUGAUCAGAAAUGAAGGAGUGUUCAGACCACUUCGCGGCAUUGGCGCUACGGUUGCUGGAGCUGGACCAGCUCACGCCUUGUACUUUGCUGCCUAUGAGCGAUUAAAAGUUGAUUUCACAUCGACAGGCUCAGCACAUCAUAACUACUUGGCUCAGGGAGCAGCUGCCUCCGCUGCCACUGUUCUCCAUGAUGGAAUUAUGACGCCAGCGGAAGUGGUUAAGCAGCGAUUGCAGAUGUACAACAGCCCCUUCCGGUCCUUGACAGAGUGUGCCAUAAAAGUCUAUCAGACGGAAGGAUUUUCCGCCUUUUAUCGCUCUUACGGCACGCAACUCGCCAUGAAUGUGCCGUUCCAGUGCGUUCACUUCAUCGUGUACGAGGCAAUGCAAAAUGCCACCAACCCCGAACGCACCUACAAUCCUUUAGGUCACGUCGUCUCGGGUGGAGUCUCUGGAGCCCUUGCGGCCGCUGUUACCACGCCGCUUGACGUCUGCAAGACACUGUUGAAUACUCAAGAGGCUGAAGUCUUGCACCGGGCGCAGAAGACGCAAAUCAGUGGAUUUUUUAACGCUGCACAAAUGGUUUACCGAUUGGGAGGUUUUGGUGGCUUCUAUCAGGGAUUGCAAGCACGUUUAUUGUUUCAAGUUCCUUCGACGGCUAUCUGCUGGUCCGUCUAUGAGUUCUUUAAAUAUUUUCUGACAAAAACGGACUAAGUGACGGUGACAAAGUCACGUAUGUUUGAAUAACUAAACGUUUUCUAAAACGAGCAAAAUCAAACUGGGCUAAUGGACUAGAAAUAUGUUGACGCAGCGGAAGUAUUUUCAAAUCUAGGUACAAACACUAUACUAGAUACAGUAUAGUGUGAUUCAUCGGUGGUUGAAGAAGAAGUGGCAUUAGUUGCAGCUUCUGCUGCUUAGUAAUCAUCAAGUAUUUAAAGUGAGAGAUCGAAUCAUCUAUUGUUUGAAUCACCUAUUGUCCUUGACAGCUGUAUAUAUGUGUAUAUAGGAGUCACGGGCUCACGGCCGUCUAGUUGCACUAUCCCUUGCCAUUGGUGCCUACAAACUCGAAGUCAAGAUACAAAUUUUUAAUGUUGAGAAAAUGGUUCUUCUUUUGCCACAAAACUAAACCAAAUAAACAAUUGGAAUCACACACAAAAA
rnacentral:misc_RNA from 1 species